AGACGGAGGGAGUCAAAGCCUCCAGGUCCAGCCGUCCCAUUUUACUGCUUAAGUCAGCCUGGAGUGUCAGAACCCAUCUCUGCCUGCCUUCUCUGGGUUUUGUACAGUGGGGCCAGUCGCUCCCAACGGCCAGCCAGCUGAGUGGAACAGGGGUCUAGGGUGGACCAGCAGGGCUCUGCCCGUUGGGGUGACUUUCUAACAUUAUCUCUAGUGUAUUUUAACAGUACAGAGGCUUGCGGUGGGACUCAGAGAGGGAGAAGCUUUGAUUGCUUUUUUUUUUUAUUUUUGGCUUCUUUUUCUUCUGGUGAUCUGGAUUUGUUUCCUCCGGCCCCUCCCCUUGUCCUGUUCUUUCUCACUCCCGCCUUUGGCGAAGUGACACAGGCGACACCUGCUCGCUUGUGUCUGCUGCUGGAACUCGCACCUCCACGGUGGUGAAGGUGCCGGCGCGCUCGUGACUGUGGGGACAGCAGAGGGUUCCCUCCCUUGGAGCACACGAUGCACAGAGUGGCGGCGGGUGGGCUGCGAGGAGCUCGACCGGCUGCACGGGAAGGCGGGAUCGAGGGGCUGCCGCUGGCGGGGAGUUGCUGCUAAGUGGACGCGACUCGACGGCGCCCAGGUGUCAGUCAGGGCACCCGCGGGACCCCAGUGCGAGCUGCGGGAACGCGGGCGUCUCACGGGGAGGACGCCGGUUGAGCGCACAGCCCCGGGCGAGCCUGCUCAGAACCGCUCCACCCCGGAGCCUGCAGACCUGGGAGAGCUGGGGAACUCGAGGAGUGCGAGGCUGCUCUGCUGAAGGUGAAUCACCGCGUCCAAUUGCCUUUCCCUAGAGAACCCGGGGGAGGGCGGGAGAGAGGGGGGGAAAACGUGUGAGCGCGCAAGGGAGAGACGACGCGGGGCGAGAGGAAAAAGUCCUCGCUCGCCGCUCAAAGCAAACAAAUCGGAGAUGGAAUAAGAGCGCCGGUGGCUGGAGCCCGCCUGGAUCCUCGCAGUCCCGGGAGCCGAGCGCACCGCGCGCAGCGAGCGCAUCGCUGGGGACAGCGGGCGACCGCGGGCGCCGCCGGGGGCUGCGGAGACUUUAGCUCUCCCCUUCGGUCCACGAACCUUCCGAUUACUUUGACAAAGAGCCGAGCCCAAGGACCGGCCUCGCGCGCUGCACCUUCCUCUUGUUUCGGGGAGGGGGGAACCCCAGCUUGUAUGAAGACACUGCCGAGCCCCCUUUAGCCUUCGGAGGAGGCGGCACUCACACGCGCGCACGCAGGGCCACACUCGCUCGCCCUCCGCGAGCACACACCGGCGGACUUUGGGUCCCUAUGCCCCUGGAUGGUGCCAGCGGACCGGCAUCUCGGAAGCGAUGCAGGAGCGGUGAGGCUGGCGUCGGCCCGCGGAAGCUACAGGACCAUCGCUAGGUGCUGCCGCCACCGGGACGCCCGGCUGCAGGGUCUCUCACUGAACCUGGAAAUAAGCUGGUGUCCAGCAAACCCCAGCGUCUCUGCCCAGUGACCGUUAUAGGAGCGUAGGACCAUACUGCCCAUCAGUUUCAUGUGGACACUAGGACUGAACUGGUACCCGUGCUUGUGCAGCAAGGGCUCUUACCCACUGAGCUAUCACUUCAGCUUGCCAUGAGUAUCUAUUCAAUGAAUGAUCAUCAAGAUGAAUAAGAGAUACUUACAGAAAGCAACACAAGGAAAGCUUCUGAUAAUUAUUUUUAUAGUGACCUUGUGGGGGAAAGCUGUUUCCAGCGCCAACCAUCACAAAGCUCACCAUGUUAGAACUGGGACUUGCGAGGUGGUGGCGCUGCACAGAUGCUGUAAUAAGAACAAGAUAGAAGAACGGUCCCAAACGGUCAAGUGUUCCUGCUUCCCUGGGCAGGUGGCAGGCACUACACGAGCUGCUCCAUCUUGUGUGGAUGCAUCCAUAGUGGAACAAAAAUGGUGGUGUCAUAUGCAGCCAUGUCUGGAGGGAGAAGAAUGUAAAGUUCUUCCAGAUCGCAAAGGAUGGAGCUGUUCCUCUGGAAACAAAGUAAAAACAACUAGGGCAAACGUGUAAAACUCUUCACAUUGGAAUGGAGAAAUAGAAAGAGAAGGUUUCUGCUGUGCCUGAUGACAAUUUUUGAUUUUCCACAUUCAAAAUUAUUCUGGCUCCACGCUUGGAGCAGUAGUUAUGGCGAAUCCUAGUGUUGGUCGGAUUCUGAGGAAGGGGCAGAAGUUUCCUUGAGAAGUAAAGAUUCCAAACAACUCCAGAAAUGAGCGUCUGUCUCCUUUCAUUUCUCACAGAGCAGCAGGUAACCCAUUAACCACUCCUAAAUCAAGUAAUCCUCAAGGCUGUGUUCUUGGAGACACAAGAAUAGAAACUGGACUCCUGCAGGGACCUUGAAGAUUUUUAUACCUCUUAGAAGAGACAUUUAAAACCCAUUUCCAAGGGAUUCUAUGGGUUUUCAUCUACUUCUUACUGAAACUGAGACUUUAAAGAAGUCUGAAGUAAACUUUGGGUCCUGACGACUUCAUCAGCUGUGAACUAUGCUUGGCUCAUGACUCUUCUGAGGAAAGUGGACACUGCUCUCCACAGAGCUUCGAUAGAGUUGGUUUUCUGGGGUGACAGCAGAGACUGUCACCUGUAAGGUUUCUGGCUUCAGCUGUGACUGUUCUUGUGUCUGAAGCUGUCUCCCAAGCUCACUGUACUAUCAUGGAUGUGCUCCUGGCUCCUUUGUUCCUUGUCCAGUAGGACUGUGCACAGCUUCGAUGACGUUCCCUUUGCAAACUUUUCCGGCAUGGCAUAGGCAGAGACAAUUUUAUUGGUAUUCUAACCUUGAAACUCUGAAAGCCUACUUGUUUUAACAUCUUACACUUGCCCCUGUGAAAGGAAUAGAAGUAUUUAUCCAUUGGUAAUGAUAAUCAUUGGCAAAUCACAGUGAUCUGAAUACAUCCCUCAUGUAAGAAUGUGCAAGCGAGCUGACACAUUUCCCCAAGGCUAACAUGUGACUGCAGCUCUCUGACAGUUUAACAGAUAGCAGUUAGGACUGGAUUCCAAUUCCCAUUACACAGUACUCUGUGCCUCUAGUGCACCCUUCCUUCCAGUUUUUUUUUAAGUGUACUUUCUUUUUUAUGUUUCCUUUUACUUUCCUUCACAGAAACCCUCAGUGUACAGUCAAAUUAGCAGAGAGCUUUUGAUUUCAAAAAUAAAACAAAACACACCAGGGAUGCAUGUGAUUCUCUAAUUUCUAAUCACUUACAUUUCUUCUAGCAUUUUCUUAAACUAUCCUUUCUGUCUCAUUCGAAGAUUGUCUCUUGCUUGAUUCCAAUGACUGCUUGAAUGCUUAUAUAUUUGUUCAGUCUGUGGAUAGAAAAAAAGAAAAAACCUGUUGAUUUUCCUUGACCACAAAGGUCUAAAUACUUGCUUAUGGUUGUUCCAUUUAAACAAUUCUUGGCCAGUAUUUUGUCCAUUAUUUUCACAUCCAUCAUAAAACUUGUGAUUUUUAGUUCUUUGUGAUUUCUCUUACAAAUAUUUAAAGGCCUUAAACAUUGAUUUACCUUUUUUUUUAAGUUACUACAGAAUGUAUAAUUUUGUACCGCAUUUAUUUUGUUUCACUUGUGAUGUGGGGGAAGGGAACAGUGAGUACUGAGUUGCCACCGUAUAAUAAUAAUAAUACCAUGUAAACCGAUAGCUUGAAGGAAUAUAAAGGCAAGGGUUUUCCAUGCCUUAAUUAUUUUAGUUUGAUUGAAAGAUGUUUCACAGAUCAUCCUAUUAGGUCGUCCAUCAUUUUAGUAAAAGAGUGAAGAUGUUCAGGACUUCUUGCAUUUCUAGAACUCACUGACAAAGCCAGUUCACCUUGUGUUGGUUUCUAAGAUGGAGGUUCACAUAUUCUAGAGAAGAAUUUGUAUCUGUUAGUCUGUAACAAUGCUCAAAGGGUCACAUAUUAACAAGAACCUUUAGUAGGAAGAACAGCUAAAAGCGUAAAAAUCUGUUAAAAAUUAAAUUGGAAAACGACACUUCUAAUACUGAGUGAAAGUCAACUGCCUCAUGAAAAUAUGGAAUGAAGUGAUUCCUGCCUCACUUUUAAUUGCACCCAAUUGGGUGGUUCUACAUGGGUUUUGUAAUGGUCAAAUCUACCCAGAGUCAAUAUGAAAGGAGUAACAGUUGUGCUGGACUUUCUCUGUCAAACAAAUUAUCACUACUUUCUUUGGUACAAAAUGAAAAACUAUCGUUUUGGAUAUUAUGAGUUUAUCCUAGGUUUGUUUGAAAUUAAGGAUCAUGCUUCUCAUUUCGAAAACUAUGUCAUUUAAAACAACACUGGAAACUCUGUAUUAUAUAAAAGUGUAAUACAUGCGUAUCAAUAGAAAAAAAUAAAUGGAAUUUCAAAUAUAUGAACUAGAUAUUCCCAGUAGAUUAAUGUUGUGACCAUUCAGAAAAAAAUUAAAUAAAAUUGGAAUAUAAAAUGGACUCACUUUCACAAGUAAAAUUUGGAAAAUCUGGUCUCUUGUAUCCUAUUUUAAAAGAACCCUAGUUGGUAACCAGUACAACUCUGAACUUAGAUGGAAGCUGAUGAUUUCUUCAGUCCUCUUUUAAUAAAGUUCUGUGCUAAAC